AGUAGGCAGCUUGGUACAGAGGAAAGAGCACUGUAUCUGGAAUUAGAGAAUCCAGGUUCAAAUCCUGCCUUUGGUACUUACUGCCUAUAUGA
ensembl:miRNA mdo-mir-12308b mdo-mir-12308b